UUUUUAAUUAUUUUAGCGAUGGCAAAUUCCUUCACGGCCAGGAGCUGGCCCAUCCCCUGAGCAAAGGCAGCUCGGACAUGACCGGCAGGCGAGGGAGGAGGAGGAGGAAUUUGGAUUCCCUUCGGAGGCGCCGACCCCUCCUCCGGCCGGGGGGGAGCGCGGAGCCGGCGGGGCUGGACCGGCCGCUGUCCCCCCGCGGCCCCCGCCCCGCCCCGCACCACGGGCAUGCGGCAUCUCCAGCGCCGGGACGGAUCCCUGCUGCAAUGAGAUCUGAGCCUUGAGGUGAAGACCUCGACCAAAACACCUGCAGAGAGCCUGUGCUUCAGCCCUAAUCACAGUGAUAACAAG